rnacentral:rRNA from 1 species
UGCGUAGGCGGAAAAGUAAGUCAGUGGUGAAAUCUCUCGGCUCAACCGAGAAACUGCCAUUGAUACUGCUUAUCUAGAGUUUAGUUGAAGUGGGCGGAAUGUAGCAUGUAGCGGUGAAAUGCAUAGAGAUGCUACAGAACACCGAUUGCGAAGGCAGCUCACUAAGCUAAAACUGACGCUCAGGCACGAAAGCGUGGGGAUCAAACAGGAUUAGAUACCCUGGUAGUC